rnacentral:tRNA from 1 species
GCGAGGGUGGCGGAAUGGCAGACGCGCUAGAUUUAGGUUCUAGUUCCAACCGGAGUGGGAGUUCGAGUCUCCCCCCUCGCA